UAAAGAGACUGGACAGAGUUUGAUUAUGAAUAAAAUGAAUGACUGUCCAUUGCCGAACAAUGCAGGACCUUCAAGCUUCACCAUCAACCCUUUGUGUCUCAUGUUGUGGUGUUCACUUUCUGUAAAACCAAUAACUGGACUGCUAAAGACACUUACAAGUGUGCAUCAUGGCUGUCUGGAUGAAGACCAAGCAAAUGUUUGAGGCAGAUUUGUUGAUGGAAUCUGAGAUCUGCUGCUAAGGCUGGACUGACCGUAUGGACGUCAGAGAUCAGAUGUGAUUUAGGCCUGUGAUGGCCCAUGCCAGGCCAGUUGUGAUCGGCGAUACACCCUGCCUGUGCGGUUUUGGUUUCACUAGAACAAGAGUUUAGGUCUCCUGUGUUCCAGUCUGGGUCCUCAGCUCUUUCUCUGAGUGACAGGCAGGUACAGAACGAAUCUGACAAACUUUUUCAUAUUUUAUGCACUGAUUUUAGGGGUCCUGCAUUCUGCAUACUCAUUGGUUGCUGCUUUAUCAA